ensembl:antisense Gm15978 predicted gene 15978
ACCUAGCAACACAGCCAAUGAAACUGCCGCAUGGAGACCAAGAGAGGGAGCGACCUAAAUCAUGCCACAGAACUCAUCCGUUAUUCCUAUGGGGUGAAGCAUGAGGCAUAUUUAUAUCUGCCCAGCCGUACCUUCUGGAAGGCACGCUCCCGACUCCCAACUGCAAACACCCCGUGGCGGACCACAGGAAGAGAGAAACACCCACGCCCACACCUGCGCAUGGGCACGCUCACCAUCGCUAGCACGUGAACACAGCGCCUUCCCCAUCCACCUCAGGGAGUCAUCCCAAUACUGGGCCACCAACGUCUCCAGCACCAAACUCUGAGACACCACCCCCAGGAGAGAUCGGAGCAGGCGUCGGGCAAACCCCCGCCCCCACAGCCCCAGCCUUACCUUCCCACAAGCCACCAUGGAGAGGGCCACUUGGUACCAAAGGUGAAAUUCUCCAAAAGCACACUUCAUGGCUCGCUCUAGGCACUGGGGAGGAACACGCAGUCAGCACUGCCCCACCAGCCGCCUGCUUGCCUCGUCCCUCACAGGCUAACCAUGACCCGAGUCGCUGCCUUCAGAGGGCCGCAGGGCAGCCUGGGAAUACAGGGACAAUCCAGCCCCUGCACACAGGCACUGUGAUGAGGCACGACAGUUGUCUCACCCUCUGUAGUCCUAGGUGCCCACCUCCAUUCUACAUGGAUGGCUUCAGACAGCCAUUUUGGAUGUGCAAAUGAAAUAAGGCUUAUG